GUAACAUAUAGUUAAUGUACCUUCAAGACUGGGAUAGCCACUGGAAACGGUGAUUAAUACUAGAUAUACCUUCAUAUCACAAGCUAUGAAGGGAAACGUUUUUUCGCUUGAAGAUCAGACUAUAUCCCAUCAGUUAGUUGGUAGGGUAAUGGCCUACCAAGGCAAUGACGGGUAGCGGGUUUGAGAGGAUGAUCCGCCACACUGGUACUGAGACACGGACCAGACUCCUACGGGAGGCAGCAGUGAGGAAUAUUGCACAAUGGAGGAAACUCUGAUGCAGCAACGCCGCGUGGAGGAUGACGCAUUUCGGUGUGUAAACUCCUUUUAUGAGUCAAGAAAAUGACGGUAGCUCAUGAAUAAGCACCGGCUAACCCCGUGCCAGCAGCCGCGGUAAUACGGAGGGUGCAAGCGUUACUCGGAAUCACUGGGCGUAAAGGACGCGUAGGCGGGAUGUCAAGUCAGGUGUGAAAUCCUAUGGCUCAACCAUAGAACUGCAUUUGAAACUGGCAACCUAGAGUAUGGGAGGGGGAGAUGGAAUUAGUGGUGUAGGGGUAAAAUCCGUAGAUAUCACUAGGAAUACCUAAAGCGAAGGCGAUCUCCUGGAACAUAACUGACGCUAAGGCGUGAAAGCGUGGGGAGCAAACAGGAUUAGAUACCCUGGUAGUCCACGCCCUAAACGAUGAACACUAGUCGUCGUGAUGCUUGUCAUUGCGGUGAUGCACUUAACAGAUUAAGUGUUCCGCCUGGGGAGUACGGUCGCAAGAUUAAAACUCAAAGGAAUAGACGGGGACCCGCACAAGUGGUGGAGCAUGUGGUUUAACUCGAAGAUACGCGAAAAACCUUACCUGGCCUUGACAUUGAUAGAAUCCAGCAGAGAUGCAGAGUGCCCUUCGGGGAGCUUGAAAACAGGUGCUGCACGGCUGUCGUCAGCUCGUGUCGUGAGAUGUUGGUUAAGUCCCGCAACGAGCGC
rnacentral:rRNA from 1 species